AGAGUUUGAUCAUGGCUCAGCCUGAACGCUGGCGGCGUGGCUAAGACAUGCAAGUCGAACGGGUGUAGCAAUACACCAGUGGCGGACGGGUGAGUAAUGUAUCGCUAAUGUACCCCGGAGCCUGGGAUAGCUGACCGAAAGGUCAGGUAAUACCAGAUGAUAUAACCUGGUCGCAUGAUCGGGUUCUCAAAGCAGCAAUGCACUCUGGGAGCAGGCGAUAUCGUAUCAGCUUGUUGGUGAGGUAACGGCUCACCAAGGCGACGACGCGUAGCUGGUCUGAGAGGACGGCCAGCCACAUUGGGACUGAGACACUGCCCAGACUCCUACGGGGGGCUGCAGUAACGAAUCUUCCGCAAUGCACGAAAGUGUGACGGAGCGACGCCGCGUGUAGGAGAAGCCCUUCGGGGUGUAAACUACUGUCAGGGGUUACCAAGUUCUGAGGAGCCCCAGAGGAAGGCACGGCUAACUCUGUGCCAGCAGCCGCGGUAAGACAGAGGUGCCGAGCGUUAGGCGGAAUCACUGGGCUUAAAGCGUGUGUAGGCGGGUCGUUAAGUGCCUUGUGAAAUCCCACGGCUCAACCGUGGAACUGCUUGGCAUACUGGCGAUCUUGAGCCAGCUAGAGGCAACCGGAACAAACGGUGGAGCGGUGAAAUGCGUAGAUAUCGUUUGGAACGCCAAUGGUGAAAACAGGUUGCUGGGGCUGCGCUGACGCUGAGACACGAAAGCCAGGGGAGCGAACGGGAUUAGAUACCCCGGUAGUCCUGGCUGUAAACGAUGUCCACUAGAUCGUAGCGGCUCUGACGCCAUUAUGGUCGAAGCAAAAGUGCUAAGUGGACCGCCUGGGAAGUACGGUCGCAAGGCUAAAACUCAAAGGAAUUGACGGGGGCUCACACAAGCGGUGGAGCAUGUGGUUCAUUCGAAGCACGCGCAGACCUUACCUGGGCUUGACAUGCCAGGAUUAUCCCGAUGAAAGUCGGGUAGGCCUCGCAGA
rnacentral:rRNA from 1 species